GUGGUCUCCCCUUGGUAUGUAUGAUUUCCGCUGUGUGUUGUGGUUGUGAAGAGGGUUCAACUUCAGGGGUUGUCUGGAAUAUGGGAUCUAGCUUCCCCAAGGCCUAGGUAUCAAAUAUUGACUAUCGUGAUCAGUUAAGGGACUGACCAGUAUUGUGACCAUUAUCCCUGACGAUGACAUAGGACAUCAUUAUGGAUAUGUGCAGUCGACUGAAAUACUAUGAAGAGUUGUCGCGCGGCCUUGUGUCAAUGUGGCAGGCAGGCUGCUUCACCGACGUAGAAGUGGUGGUGGAGGAGGAGAGUUAUCACUGCCACAGAGUAGUCCUGGGGGCCAUGUCGGACUACUUCAAUGCCAUGUUUAGCUCAGGUUUUCGGGAGAGUAAUGAAAAACGAGUGAUUCUCCAGGGUGUAGACAGGCAAACUUUUGAGAUGAUCCUGUCCUUUCUGUACACUGGGGAGGACCAUAUCAACAAUGAUAAUGUGAGCCAGCUCCUGAUGGCCUCUGUAAUGCUACAGGUGACCAGCCUACAAACUAUCUGUGAGAAUUUCCUUCGCCAAAACCUCAACAUUUCCAACUGUGUGGGAGUAUGGAGAAUCGCCACAUCUCACGGCCUUCAGCAUCUUGUCAAGACCAGUUGGACUUUCAUCAUGAAGUACUUCCCUGAGAUAUGUGGAGAGGAAGAAUUUGAUGGCAUGACUGCCGAUGAACUUACUCUAAUCAUUGAUGACAAGGAUUUGUAUACUUCAUCUGAGGAGCUGGUGUGUGAUGCUGCCAUAAAAUGGGUGAAAGUCGAUAUAGUAUCAAGAUCAAGUGACAUGAAAGAAAUAUUUAGCCAUCUUCGGCUAAAUCUGAUGGACACCGAUUAUCUGAAGAAGCUUUUAGCCAUGGAUGUUAUUAAAGAGUGUGAUUGUGUGAAUAUGGUGCAGGAAAUUCUAGAUAGGUCAAGUGAGGAAGAAGAUAGUAUCACUGUUAGUGACUACAGAGAGGAGGAAGUUAUAUGCAUGGUCGGCACUCGAAGUAGAAAUCCUGACCCACAGAAGACUGAGAUACAAUGCUACAGUUAUCGCCAUCGGAAAACAUUUACACUGAUGGACCUUCCUAAGGAAACGGGUCCCUGCUUCGCCGUCUGCACUGAUGGUAAAGAUAUAUUCAUAUCAGGUGGUUAUGUGGAAAGAAAUAUCAUUCUUCAUUUUGUGGCCAAAGAAAACAAAUGGGUAGAAAGCAGUAUGAAUGAAGGACGAUGGAGCCAUGCAAUGGCAGCUUGUGGAGAUGCUGUUUUUCUUAUAGGUGGGAUGUCACAGACAAAUGCAACGAUGUCAUGCAUUGAAAAAUUUGACAUUCACAAAAAGUCCUGUACAAAGGUUGGGGAACUACAAGUGCCUGUUUCAUCUAUGACUCUAGCUGUACUGGGGAAAAGGAUAUACAUAUUUGGAGGAAAACAUAGCAACCGUCAACCAGCCACAGUAAUCCAAUGUUACAACACUCAAACUGGUGGAUGUGUAGUGGUUGGUGAUCUACCCAGCUCCUGUGCGGGGAGUGUUGGACGAGCAGUGAAUUUUGAGGACAGGGUCUAUCUGAUCCUCAGAGAAGGCCAGAUUGUGGAAUUUCAAAAUCACUGUGCUACACAGGUGUGUGGUAUCACAAAGUUUGAUCACUUUGGUGCAGUUGAGUUUGAGGGUCGUAUCCUAAUUGUAGGGACACUGAGUGGAAAGUUCUCCAUGUUUCAGUUUGACCCUCAAUCUAAAAAAUAUAAUGAGGUAGAGGAGUCACAUGUUCUAUUCAAAGCAGCAAUGUGUAACUUUCACUGCCUGAAGAUGGUUCUAAGUAAGAAAUUCCUUAUAUAGGUAAUUGAAAAAUAAUCCCUUAAACAUGCUGUUGAAUUCCACAUUCAAAAACAUUGAUAUCUUUCUGCUUGACUUUGUGAAUCAACUUAUUGUAUAAGUAAAUGUCUUAAUUUUCAAACUGGUGGACAUAUAGUGGUUUAUGAUCUACCCAGCUCCUGUGCUGGGAGUGUCAUGAACAAGCAGUGAAUUUUGAGGACAGGGUCUCUAGCUGAUCCUCAGUGAGGGUCAGAUUGUGGAAUUUGAGUUUUGAGGGUUGUAUUCUGAUUGUAAGGACACUGCAUGAGUGGAAUUGUGUAUCUGUUCGACCCUCAAUAAAUGAGGUAGAGGAGUCCCAGUAUUUCCUCCGCCUAGAUAUAGCUUUGAAAAAUUUUGACAAAUAAGAUUUUUGAAGUUCAUUCUGAAAUUAUGUGUGAUUAAACAGAUUCGCCUUAUGGAUCAUUUGUUUAUGUAUUAGACUCUCUGAGUUCAGUUAUAUAUGCCUGUUUUUUUUUUUUUUUGCCUAGUGAGUAGUCGUGUUGUUUGUUUGAAUUACCUAUGUGGUAUAUAAUUAUGCUUCCCUUGUUUCCUUCCUAGACUGGUUUUAAUAAGAUCACCUAAGAUGAAUUCUCAGGUGAUCUAUUGCAUUCACCUUCUGUGCGUCAUCUUGCAUUUCAUAAUUAUUAUUGUCUGUCAUAUAAAGAGGUCCAGGGUCAUAAUAUUAGGCCAGUAGCAUGCAUGGUGGGAUAAAUGAUUUACCAAGUUUGUUCAAAUGAAUGGUCUUGACCUUCUUUCAAGGUCACAGGGGCCAACUGUGUAAAAAUCUUGAAAAAGCUUCUUCUCAAUAACCAUGAAGCACAGGAGGGCCAUGGUAUUAUGCCAGUAACAUGCUUGGGUGAACGACUACAAAUGUUGAUCAAAUGGAUGACCUUGACCUACUUUGACCAAAUUUAGCCACCCAUCAUCUAUACAAACAAUUUUGUGUUUAAAUCAAUUUGAAGAUAGAUAUGUGGUAGUGGGACAAGUAUUAAAAGAAAUUUUAACUUGACGGACCUUAAAAUGUUUACAAUAGAAUUGGCUUACAAUCUUUCAUUAUAAUCCUUAUCAUCGGUAAUUAUGAGAGAUUUUAUUAAGGUUAGCAAAAUAGCCUACUAUAAAUAUAUAUAAAUAGUAACUGAAUCUUGAUACUUAACUGAUUGCCAGUCUAAAUUAUCUUUUACAAAAAGUGCUUUUAGAUAUCUUAUCAUUGAAACAUACAUUGCUAAAUUUUUGAAAAAAGCAAAUGAAAAGUGAAAUUUCCUUAAAACUGAUCAUAAAGUUAUGGAAUUCUCUGAAGUGCAUGGAUAAUUUUGGACAUGUUAACUAUUUAAGUGAGAAAAUAUUACCUGAAAUCAGUCUGAGAAUUAAAACAUUCGUUUAAGUUGUAUACGAGUAAUUAGGAUAUUGUUUUCAGAUUUAAGGAUCUAGAGUGUGUGAUAUGAUUGAAAUAUAUUUGUUAAAGGUUGUUGUUCAGAAUGCUCGUUAAUUGAUAUGAUGGGGAAACUGUUUUUAUUCUGAGUAUUAAUCAUUUUAACUUGCACUGUUACUUUUUAAACCUUUACUAGGCUAUUUAUUGAUAUCUAUCUGUACACCGCCUAAGAUGUUUUUUAACUAAUUAUGGACCAAUAUAAAAGGUAUCAUUAACAAAAACAUAACAAUAUUGUUCAUUGUUUAUCUAAUAAACUUAUAUAACUGUUUCAUGUUCUCUGUCUGUAUGUGAUCGUUUGCAAUUUACUUGUGUUUUUAAGUUGAUAAAGGGGUGGAUUGCCUCGAAAAUUUGACAAUUUAUUAUAAUUACUUGUCUGUACUGUCGUUAAUAUUACUACAUAACGAAUUAUAUAA